GAACGCUGGCGACGUGCCUAACAAAUGCAAGUCGAACGGGGGAGCAAUCCCUAGUGGCGAACGGUCGCGUAACACGUGGGCAACCUGCCCUGAACCGGGGGACAACAGCUCGAAAGGGCUGCUAAUACCGCAUGUGAAGGGGGAUGGCAUCAUCCCUUGUUCAAAGCUUUAUGCGCUUCAGGAUGGGCCCGCGGCCUAUCAGCUAGUUGGUGGGGUAACGGCCUACCAAGGCUUCGACGGGUAGCUGGUCUGAGAGGACGAUCAGCCGGAUUGGGACUGAGAUACGGCCCAGACUCCUACGGGGGGCAGCAAUUAGGAAUCUUGCACAAUGGGGGCAACCCUGAUGCAGCGACGUCGCGUGGAGGAUUGAAAUCUUUCGGGAUGUAAACUCCUUUUCUCAGGGAAGAAAAAAAUGACGGUACCUGAGGAAUAAGCCCCGGCUAACUACGAGCCAGCAGCCGCGGUAAUACGUAGGGGGCGUGCGUUGUCCGGAAUUACUGGGCGUAAAGAGCGCGUAGGCGGGCUCCUAAGUGAGGGGUGAAAGGUUCGGGCUCAACCCGGAGAGUGCCCUUCGUACUGGGAGCCUUGAGUGCGGGAGAGGCAAGUGGAAUGGUCGGUGUAGCGGUGAAAUGCGUAGAUAUCGAUCGGAACACCAGUGGCGAAG
rnacentral:rRNA from 1 species